CAACAACACACCUAUAUGCCUCUGAAAAUGAAGAAGAAUGCAAGAAAGCCUAAACUGGUAUGCAAGUAAGCCUGACUCCUUCAACACUCUAAAAGAUAUGGAAGAAUUGCAGUUCAUAGAUAUUUGGCUACUGAUUUAACCACUAAUGACAUGUAUGGUCUGCCUCCUUGGAAAAGUCUCUUCGCAGCUCCGUACUUUGAUUUCCCUCCUUGUAAAACUGACUACAGAUAUUUCUACCCCUUGUGAGACGGUUCAAGGAAGUUUCAGGAGAAGGAUGCUAUAUAACGAACAAAGAGACACAAGACAAAAAGCUGGGAAAGGAUCCUGGAAUGCAGGGACCGAUACUCAAUGGCUGCUGGGGAAGAGACAGACAGUUGCUCUCUGUUUGAGCCAUCCUUUGGUCAGAGCAGCAACACAAGGUGCUCCAAGCAAAAAGCAGGGAUCAGCUGCUCGAGCCAUAUCAGCUGCUGGAAAAGUCAAUCCCCAUACUAUCGAGUCCAUACAAAGUAAUUGCUGGCAGUCAUGUGCCUCCCAGCAGUGUGAUUACUUGGCAGUCUCCUGACCUAAACAGUUUCCUGUUUUGCCUAAGCCUAAAGCCAUCCCUGAAUCCAAAUUCCCAGUUUGGCAGAUGAUGGGACGAAUAGGUAUGACAAAGGCUCAGUGACAUUAUGGACAGGCCUAGAGUCAGGCUUUUGGGUGUCUAUGGGUCUCUACUAAUAGUGAUGUAAUGACAGAGGGAUGUAGCUAUCAACAGCAUAUGCAGCAAGUGAGGGAGAGCUGGAGGAUUCUGUGUAUAUACAUACAGCAUCAAUUAUUUCCUGCAUUCUUCUGUGGCUGUAGCUGUAUGUAACUUGUUGUAACUGGAAUGCAACUUUUUUUAUCUGAAAGCACUUAGGGCCAAUGCAUUGAUCCACAUGUAGCGGAAUGAAAACCAACCUUAAAAACAUAGUAAACAGCACCAAAUAUUUAUAAGUAUUUAAAAAUAUUGAUAAAUAAUUGAUCAACAGACAGAAGGAGCAUACAGAAAAUAAAUUCUUCGUAAGAAAUUCCA
rnacentral:lncRNA from 1 species